AACGAACGCUGGCGGCAGGCUUAACACAUGCAAGUCGAACGCCCCGCAAGGGGAGUGGCAGACGGGUGAGUAACGCGUGGGAACAUACCCUUUCCUGCGGAAUAGCUCUGGGAAACUGGAAUUAAUACCGCAUACGCCCUACGGGGGAAAGAUUUAUCGGGGAAGGAUUGGCCCGCGUUGGAUUAGCUAGUUGGUGGGGUAAAGGCCUACCAAGGCGACGAUCCAUAGCUGGUCUGAGAGGAUGAUCAGCCACAUUGGGACUGAGACACGGCCCAAACUCCUACGGGAGGCAGCAGUGGGGAAUAUUGGACAAUGGGCGAAAGCCUGAUGGAGCAACGCCGCGUGCAGGAUGAAUGCUUUCGAGUUGUAAACUGCUUUUAUAUGUGACGAAUAUGACGGUGGCAUAUGAAUAAGGAUCGGCUAACUCCGUGCCAGCAGCCGCAGUAACAC
rnacentral:rRNA from 1 species